rnacentral:lncRNA from 1 species
UGGAAACCCGUGUGGCAUCCAGCGAGCAAAGCAGGGACAACGGCUGAGCCCGCACCGCGUCUCCGUCCAGCGAGAGGCCGAGGUUGUUCCUGCUGCCCGAGGAAGGCGGCGAGCGGCCCUGCUGUCCGCUCCGAGAGCCCCCCGCCCGGCGCCCUUGGGGGCCUGCCUUCGACCGUCAGGGUGGCUCUGGCACCGCAGCUCAGCGCUCUCCAGGCCAUCAGAAACGCCCUCGGCUGAGGUCUGAGGGAUCUGGAGGCACAGAUUGUAAGGACAGAGCAAGGAGGGGGCUAACGGGACCGAGAGCUGCCAGUCAGAGAGGAGCUCUUGCCUCCCUCCAGAAGGGCUCGCGGGAGCUGCUGGAGCUCCGUCACGAGCCACCGUCGUUUGGAAAAGCAAAGCUCACUGAUGUUCAGGGCCUGACACUUCUUAGCGUGACCCAGUCCUCCCUGAAAACUAGAGGAGGCGGAGACGGGCGCCUCCUGUGUCCUUGCCCAGCUUGCCUGAUGGCGCUCUCUCUCUCUCUCUCUCUCUCUCUCUCUCUCUCUCACACACACACACACACACACACACACACAGCCACGACUAAAGCAAAGUGACAUGCAGCCUUCCUGAAGCAAAAGGCUCGCUGGCCUGGAAGGAAUCGCAGACACCGAGGCCCCAAUCUGUUAGAUUCGGUUUCAUCUCGGAUCCUUCCGGGGCCUGGUGGCGCACACCCGUGAUCCCAGCACUCUUCGAAGCUGAGGGAGGAGGAUCUCAGGUUUGAGCCACAAGCCGGGCAAUUUAGUGACUUAGCAAGAUGCUGUCUCAAAAUGAAAAAGGGCUGGAGGCGUAGCUCAGUGCGAAGGCCCUGAGUUCAAGCCACAUUACCCUCCCCCUAAAAAAAUUCUUCCAGGGUUUUAUAUUCAGCUUACAAAUCUUAUUUUUUUUCUACCUAUAAGUAGAGCAAAUUGCAGCUAUCUCUUUUUAGUCCCUUUCAAAGAAACAUUAGCCAAUACUUGGUUACAUUUGUAACCUUAGGAAAUUAAGUCUUCAAAUAGUUUAAAGUGUGUGUGUGUGUGUGUGUGUGUGUGUGUGUGUGUCUGUGGUGUGUGUGGUGCUGGGAAUCUAACCCAGGGCCUCAGGCUCACCACACAAGGAAGUGCUGUACCACUGAGCUACACCCCCAAACUUCACUUUUGUUUUAAGGGCAUCAAUUAUCUG